rnacentral:rRNA from 1 species
CCUACGGGAGGCAGCAGUGGGGAAUAUUGGACAAUGGGGGAAACCCUGAUCCAGCGACGCCGCGUGAGUGAAGAAGUAUUUCGGUACGUAAAGCUCUAUCAGCAGGAAAGAAAAUGACGGUACCUGACUAAGAAGCCCCGGCUAACUACGUGCCAGCAGCCGCGGUAAUACGUAGGGGGCAAGCGUUAUCCGGAUUUACUGGGUGUAAAGGGAGCGUAGACGGCAGCACAAGUCUGGAGUGAAAUCCCGGGGCUUAACCCCGGAACUGCUUUGGAAACUGUGCGGCUGGAGUGCAGGAGGGGUAAGCGGAAUUCCUAGGGUAGCGGUGAAAUGCGUAGAUAUUAGGAGGAACACCGGUGGCGAAGGCGGCUUACUGGACUGUAACUGACGUUGAGGCUCGAAAGCGUGGGGAGCAAACAGGAUUAGAUACCCCUGUAGUC